CAUAAAAUAGCUUAACUAAAGCAUCUUGCUUACACCAAGAAAACACCUGUUAAAACUAGGUUUUUAUGA
rnacentral:tRNA from 1 species